GACGAACGCUGGCGGCGUGCCUAAUACAUGCAAGUCGAACGAAGCUGUUUUAACUGGUGCUUGCACCGACUUAAACAACUGAGUGGCGAACGGGUGAGUAACACGUGGGUAACCUGCCCCAAAGCGGGGGAUAACAUUUGGAAACAGAUGCUAAUACCGCAUAACCACAGAAACCACAUGGUUUCUGUGUCAAAGAUGGUUUCGGCUAUCACUUUGGGAUGGACCCGCGGCGUAUUAGCUAGUUGGUAAGGUAAUGGCUUACCAAGGCAAUGAGGCUGAGCCGAACUGAGCGGUUGCUCGGCCACAUAGGGACUGAGACACGGCCCAAACUCCGACGGGAGGCAGCAGUAGGGAAUCUUCCACAAUGGACGAAAGUCUGAUGGAGCAAGGCCGCGUGAUGGAAGAAGGUUUUCGGAUCGUAAAACUCUGUUGUCAGAGAAGAACGUGUGCGAGAGUAACUGUUCGUGCAGUGACGGUAUCUGCCAGAAAGCCACGGCUAACUACGUGCCAGCCGCCGCCGUAA
rnacentral:rRNA from 1 species